GUUUCGGAUUGGGCGCGGCACUGACGCUGAGCCGGUUGCUGGUCGGCUUGGCGCCCCGGCUCAACCCCGGGCUGAACCCC
rnacentral:tRNA from 3 species